rnacentral:misc_RNA from 1 species
GAAAUGCGAUAAGUAAUGUGAAUUGCAGAAUUCAGUGAAUCAUCGAAUCUUUGAACGCACCUUGCGCUCCUUGGUAUUCCUUGGAGCAUGCCUGUUUGAGUAUCAUGAAAUCUUCAAAGUAAAUCUUUUGUUAACUCAAUUGGUUUCUACUUUGGUAUUGGAGGUCUUUGCAGCUUCACACCUGCUCCUCUUUGUUCAUUAGCUGGAUCUCAGUGUUAUGCUUGGUUCCACUCGGCGUGAUAAGUUAUCUAUCGCUGAGGACACUGUAAAAGGUGGCCAAGGUAAAUGCAGAUGAACCGCUUCUAAUAAUCCAUUGACUUGGACAAUACUUUUAUGAUCUGAUCUCAAAUCAGGUAGGACUACCCGCUGAACUUAAGC